UGAUGGGGAGAAGACAUUGUGUCUUCGAGUCGUUGAUUUCACACUGCCGAGAAAAGCCUCUAGAUAGAAAAUAGGUGCCCGUACCGCAAACCGACACAGGUAGUCAAGAUGAGAAUUCUAAGGUGAGCGAGCGAACUCUCGUUAAGGAACUCGGCAAAAUGACCCCGUAACUUCGGGAGAAGGGGUGCUCUUUAGGGUUAACGCCCAGAAGAGCCGCAGUGAAUAGGCCCAAGCGACUGUUUAUCAAAAACACAGGUCUCUGCUAAACCGUAAGGUGAUGUAUAGGGGCUGACGCCUGCCCGGUGCUGGAAGGUUAAGAGGAGUGGUUAGCUUCUGCGAAGCUACGAAUCGAAGCCCCAGUAAACGGCGGCCGUAACUAUAACGGUCCUAAGGUAGCGAAAUUCCUUGUCGGGUAAGUUCCGACCCGCACGAAAGGCGUAACGAUUUGGGCACUGUCUCAACGAGAGACUCGGUGAAAUCAUAGUACCUGUGAAGAUGCAGGUUACCCGCGACAGGACGGAAAGACCCCGUGGAGCUUUACUG
rnacentral:rRNA from 1 species